ACAGCGAAGGUCUGCAGCUUCACUCCUGAAGCCAGCAAGACCACCAGCACACUGGGAGGGACAAACAACUCUGGAUGGGAGGAAUGAACAACUCCAGACGUGCCGCCUUUAAAAGCUGUAACACUCACCAUGAAGGUCUGCAGCUUCACUCCUGAAGUGAGCGAGACCAUGAACCCAUCAGAAGGAAGAAACUCCGGACAUGUCCAAACAUCAGAAGGAAAAAAGUCCGGACACGCCAUCUUUAAGAACUGUAACACUCACUGUGAGGGUCCGCGGCUUCAUUCUUGAAGUCAGCAAGACCAAGAACCCACCAAUUCCAGACACAUUUUGGCAGCCAUGAAGGGACUAUCACCAAGCGGUAAGACUAUCGCCUAUCGCCAAGCAAAUCGAGGCCAUCAAGCUACAGAUGAUCUUACAAAUGGAACCUCAAAUGACCUCAACUAACAACUUCUACCAAGGACCCCUGGACUGACCCACUGGCCCUUCCACUGGCCUAAAUCAUUCCCCUCUGGAGAACACUACAACUGCAGGGCCCCUUCUUCACCCCUAUCCAGCAGGAAGUAGCUAGAGUGGUCAUUGGCCAAAUUCCCAAUAGCAGUUGGGGUGUCCUGUUUAGAGGGGGGAUUGAGAGGUGACAACGGCUAGCAGUCCUCACUUACUCUCGGCACCUCCUCGGCCUUGGCAUCCACUCUGGCUGUGCUUGAGGAGCCCUUCAGCCUGCCGCUUCCCUGUGGGAGCCACUCUCUGGGCUGGCCGAGGCUGGAGCCGACUCCCUCUGCUUGCGGGGAGGUGUGGAGGGAGAGGCGUGGGAGGGAAUCGGGGCUGUGCGCAGCACUCACGGGCCAGUGUGAGUUCCGGGUGGGCGCAGGCUUGCCGGGCCCCACACUUGGAGUGGCCGGCCGGCACCACUGGCCCCAGGCAGUGAGGGUCUUAGCACCUGGGCCAGCAGCUGCAGAGGGUACGCCGGGUCCCCCAGCACUGCUGGCCCGCCUGUGCCAUGCUCGAAUUCUCGCCGGGCCUCAGCCACCUCCCCAUGGGGCAGGGCUCAGGACCAGCAGCCCACCAUGCCUGAGCCCCCCACCCAUGGGCGUGGGCUCCCGCACGGCCCGAGCCUCCCGAACAGGUGCUGCCUCCUGCUCCAUGGCACCCAGUCCCAUCGACUGCCCAAGGGCUGAGGAGUGCAGGCAUGCGGCGUGGGACUGGCGGGCAGCUCUGCCCAUGGCCCUGGUGCAGGAUCCAUUAGGUGAAGCCAGCUGGUCUCCUGAGUUGGGUGGGGACUUGGAGAACUUUUAUGUCUAGCUAGAGGAUUGUAAAUGCACUAAUCAGCACUCCAUGUCUAGCUAAAAGAUUCUAAAUUCACCAAUCAGCACUCUGUGUCUAGCUAAAAGUUUGUAAACACACCAAUCUGUGCUCUGUGUUUAGCUAAUCUAGUGGGGACUUGGAGAACUUUUGUGUCCAGCCAAAGGAUUGUAAAGGCACCAAUCAGUACUCUGUGUCUAGCUCAAGGUUUGUAAAUGCACGAAGCAGCACCCUGUCAAAACAGACCAAUCAGCUCUCUGUAAAAUGGGCCAAUCAGCAUUCUGUAAAAUGGACCAAUCAGCAGGAUGUGGGUGGGGUCAGAUAAGGAAAUAAAAGCAGGCUGCCCGAGCCAGCCUCAGCAACUCACUUGGGUCCCCUUCUGUGCUGUGGAAGCUUUGUUCUUUCGCUCUUCGUGCAAUAAAUCUUGCUGCUGCUCA